CAGCCGCCGCGGUAAUACGAAGGGGGCUAGCGUUGUUCGGAUUUACUGGGCGUAAAGGGCGCGUAGGCGGACUGAUAAGUCAGGGGUGAAAUCCCAAGGCUCAACCUUGGAACUGCCUUUGAUACUGUUUGUCUUGAGUUCGAGAGAGGUAAGUGGAACUGCGAGUGUAGAGGUGAAAUUCGUAGAUAUUCGCAAGAACACCAGUGGCGAAGGCGGCUUACUGGCUCGAAACUGACGCUGAGGCGCGAAAGCGUGGGGAGCAAACAGGAUUAGAUACCCCAGUAGUCCCUGUCUCUUAUAA
rnacentral:rRNA from 1 species